rnacentral:lncRNA from 1 species
AUGAUUUCUCCUGAUUUUUCUGUUUCCAUAUCUUUCUUUCUUUCUUUUUUUUUUUUUUUUUUUUUUAAUCUCUUGCUUUUUUACAUAGUGGCUUAUAUUUUUAAAAAACCACCAAGCUUCUCAAACAAAAUGUGUCUGUGGGCAAAUUCUGCCCACAGAUCACCGAUUUGAAAACCUUGUUCUUGUGUUUUCACAUGCUUCCUGCAGAUUCCCCCGUGGACAAAUAAGUAGUUCAAUCUCUGGUUCAAAAACAAAGGCCCUUGACUUUCUUUUCUCAGAGGGAACUUCCAGUACAGCAGCCUGCCCUCUCAGCCACCAGAACAUUUACCAGUCAUCUGCCCCUUACACCAUCAUGACUUUGAGACUGGCCUUGAGGACACAUUUUUAAUUCUAAAUCUCCAGGGCUAAUUUUCCCAAAGGGUUUCUGCAGCCCAGCCUGAACACAUUUAUCUUAUCUUCAAGAGCCGCACAGAGAGUCACUGUGCCCAUAAUAACAGAACCACUCUCCUGUGAUUGCUCCCACCUCAUCCUCCCUACGAGCUUUGAUGUAGAGCUUUAGGAUUGCCUCAGGGCUGGAAAGAUAUGGGAGAAGGGAUCAAGCUCUAGAGUUUGGGGAAAUUUUCCAGAGAAUACUUGAAAAUGGGAGCAGUCUGGGCUUGAAGCCAGGAAGCUUGAGUUUGAGUCUUCGUUUUGUCACUUAUUCAUUGUGUGGCUCUGGGCGAGUCAUUGCCAGUUAAAUACCCAUUUGCUCAUCUUGACAGUGCAGAAUCCGAUGAGAAUACUCCUAAUGGCAGGCCUUCUGGCCCUUAUUGUUGAGAUUCUCUUAUCCUUAUGUGAAUGGACAUAGAGAAGGCCACUCUCGGUGAGCACGCUACGGAUUGACACAUGGCAGAUUUAAAUGACAACCACAGAGCAGGGUGGCAUCCUCUAAAGGCAUCAUAUUCUUUAUCAGUUCAUCAGAGGACAAUGCACAUAUUUGUCAGAAUAAGUUCUUAUCCUCAAAUGCCUGAAUCAGAGUGAGGCCAGGCAGCAUGGGACCUGGAAACGUGAACGUCUGGGUAUUUACUUUUCUCUCCAUGUGAGUCAAGUUAGCAAUCCCAGGUGAUAGAUGCUCUGAUGUGAAAGGACAAGAGGCCAUGGGAGCACAGAGGGCAGGUUAUAACCCAGGGUUAAGAGGAGUCCAGAAAGUCUUUGAGGAUGAAAUAACUUUUAAGUAGUGGACCUAAGCAGUUAGGUCCUUAAAAAUAAAAGACGGUUAUUUUGCCAGCAAACAUGGGUUUAUCAUUUGGGGCAUGUAAACCAUUGGCAAAAGCAUAGACAAGUUUAAUAAACAAAGGAAAUGACUGUUAUUUUUAUGCCAUACCAUCACAAACAUAUUAAGCCAUGAACUUCUAUGACUAGUUCCUUGGUUCAUUCAUUUAUUCAUCCAUCUGUACAUCUCAUUCACCCAGUCACCCACCCAUUGAUCUAUUUAUUUAUACACCUGUCUCCCAUCCAAGAAAUAAUGUGGUGGUUUCAACCUUGGCAGCUAAUUAGAAUUACAUGAAGGGACUGUUAAUAUCCCAGGGCUUAGACUGCAUCCCAGACCAGCUAAAUCAGAAUCUCUAAAGGGUAGGACCUGGACAUGAGUAUUUUUAAAAUCUGCCCCCCAAAUUGCAAUGUGUAGCCAUGUUCAAGAACCACUGAAAUGAUGUGUUAAUUUACAUACCCAUCAGCCUAACCAAAGUCCUACAAUCUGCUGCUCCACUUUCCCCUCAUUGCCCUGCAUCCUGGCCUGUCUGUUCCAGGCCUAUGACUUGUGAGAGACUGGAUAGUCAGACUAAACCACCUGCAAUUCAGACUAAACCACCUGCAAUCUUU